rnacentral:rRNA from 1 species
AGCAGCCGCGGUAAUUCCAGCUCCAAUAGCGUAUAUUAAAGUUGUUGCAGUUAAAAAGCUUGUAGUUGAAUUUCGGGGUCAGUAGGUCGGUCGUGCCACUGGUAUGAACUGGUUUUACUGAUUCCUCCCUCUUGAAGAACUGUAAUGCCAUUAAUUUGGUGUUGCAGGGAAUCAGGACUGUUACUUUGAAAAAAUUAGAGUGUUUAAAGCAGGCUUUAGCUUGAAUACAUUAGCAUGGAAUAAUGAAAUAGGACGUUUGAUCCUAUUUUGUUGGUUUCUAGGAUUGACGUAAUGAUUAAUAGGGAUAGUUGGGGGCAUUAGUAUUCAAUUGUCAGAGGUGAAAUUCUUGGAUUUAUUGAAGACUAACUACUGCGAAAGCAUUUGCCAAGGAUGUUUUCAUUAAUCAAGAACGAAAGUUAGGGGAUCGAAGACGAUCAGAUACCGUCGUAGUCUUAACCAUAAACUAUGCCGACUAGGGAUCGGGAUGAUGUUAAUUUUUAAUGACUCAUUCGGCGCCUUA